AACGAACGCUGGCGGCAUGCCUAACACAUGCAAGUCGAACGAGACCUUCGGGUCUAGUGGCGCACGGGUGCGUAACGCGUGGGAAUCUGCCCUGGGGUGCGGAAUAACUCGGAGAAAUCCGUGCUAAUACCGCAUAAUGUCUUCGGACCAAAGAUUUAUUGCCCUGGGAUGAGCCCGCGUAGGAUUAGCUUGUUGGUGAG
rnacentral:rRNA from 1 species